GUGGGGAAUAUUGGACAAUGGGCGCAAGCCUGAUCCAGCCAUGCCGCGUGAGUGAUGAAGGCCCUAGGGUUGUAAAGCUCUUUCACCGAUGAAGAUAAUGACGGUAGUCGGAGAAGAAGCCCCGGCUAACUUCGUGCCAGCAGCCGCGGUAAUACGAAGGGGGCUAGCGUUGUUCGGAAUUACUGGGCGUAAAGCGCACGUAGGCGGAUAUUUAAGUCAGGGGUGAAAUCCCAGAGCUCAACUCUGGAACUGCCUUUGAUACUGGGUAUCACGAGUAUGGAAGAGGUGAGUGGAAUUCCGAGUGUAGAGGUGAAAUUCGUAGAUAUUCGGAGGAACACCAGUGGCGAAGGCGGCUCACUGGUCCAUUACUGACGCUGAGGUGCGAAAGCGUGGGGAGCAAACAGGAUUAGAAACCCGAGUAGUCC
rnacentral:rRNA from 1 species